rnacentral:rRNA from 1 species
UUUUCGCAAUGCCCGAAAGGGUGACGAAGCGACGCCGCGUGGGUGAGGAAGGCCUUCGGGUUGUAAAACCCUGUCAGGAGUUAUGAAAUGUAAGUGCGCUAAUAUCGUGCUUAUUUGACAAAGGCUCCAAAGGAAGCCACGGCUAACUCUGUGCCAGCAGCCGCGGUAAUACAGAGGUGGCGAGCGUUGUUCGGAAUUAUUGGGCGUAAAGAGCACGUAGGUGGGUUUGCAAGUCAGAUGUGAAAGCCUUCUGUUCAACGGAAGAAUUGCAUCUGAAACUGCUAAUCUUGAGUAUAGGAGGGGAGAAUGGAACUUCUGGUGGAGCGGUGAAAUGCGUAGAUAUCAGAAGGAACGCCGGCGGCGAAAGCGAUUCUCUGGCCUAUUACUGACACUCAGUGUGCGAAAGCUAGGGGAGCAAACGGGAUUAGAUACCCCGGUAGUCCUAGCCGUAAACGAUGGGCACUAAGUAGAGGGGUU